rnacentral:lncRNA from 1 species
CACAUAACAAUGAACCAUAAUACAUUAGACAUCAAAUUUGUAUAGUGCAAAAACCAUCUCGGUCGAUGUAGCCUAAACUAAUUUCUAAAAUUCUCUUUUAUUUUUCUUCAUCUAAUUCUUAUUUUUUCACAUUUUAUUUUAUUGAUUUUCUAUUUUUCAUGAAUUUUCUCUUUUCUUUUUUGUUUUAAUUGGUUAAAAAAUACUUUUCUGCAUUUUAAAAUUCUUAAAAUUUUAUUAUGUGUUUCUCAUUUUAUUUCCAACCUUCCAUAAUUUUCUUGGCCAUUUAUUUGGUGUUUUAAAAGACUUUGGGGAUUUUCCAUUUU